ACUGCUCAGUAACACGUGGACAACCUACCCUCAGAUCUGGGAUAACUCCGGGAAACUGGAGAUAAUACCGGAUAAUCCGUGAACGCUGGAAUGCCUUACGGUUUAAAGCUUUAGCGUCUGAGGAUGGGUCUGCGGCCGAUUAGGUAGUUGCUGGGGUAACGUCCCAACAAGCCGAUAAUCGGUACGGGUUGUGAGAGCAAGAGCCCGGAGAUGGAUUCUGAGACACGAAUCCAGGUCCUACGGGGCGCAGCAGGCGCGAAAACUUUACACUGCGCGAAAGCGCGAUAAGGGGACCUCGAGUGCGUGCGCAAUGCGUACGCUUUUCAUACGCCUAAAAAGCAUGUGGAAUAAGAGCCGGGCAAGACCGGUGCCAGCCGCCGCGGUAACACCGGCGGCUCGAGUGGUGGCCGCUAUUAUUGGGCUUAAAGGGUCCGUAGCCGGACCAGUUAGUCCCUUGGGAAAUCUUACGGCUUAACCGUAAGGCUGCCAAUGGAUACUGCUGGUCUUGGGACCGGGAGAGGCAAGAGGUACCUCAGGGGUAGGAGUGAAAUCCUGUAAUCCUUGAGGGACCGCCAGUGGCGAAGGCGUCUUGCUAGAACGGGUCCGACGGUGAGGGACGAAAGCUAGGAGCACGAACCGGAUUAGAUACCCGGGUAGUCCUAGCCGUAAACGAUGCGAGCUAGGUGUCACGUGGAUUGCGAAUCCAUGUGGUGCCGUAGGGAAACCGUGAAGCUCGCCGCCUGGGAAGUACGGCCGCAAGGCUGAAACUUAAAGGAAUUGGCGGGGGAGCAC
rnacentral:rRNA from 1 species